rnacentral:rRNA from 1 species
AACGAACGCUGGCGGCAUGCCUAACACAUGCGAGUCGAACGAGACCUUCGGGUCUAGUGGCGCACGGGUUCGUAACGCGUGGGAACCUGCCCUUAGGUUCGGAAUAACUCCCCGAAAGGGGUGCUAAUACCGGAUAAUGUCUUCGGACCAAAGAUUUAUCGCCUUUGGAUGGGCCCGCGUUGGAUUAGCUAGUUGGUAGGGUAAAAGCCUACCAAGGCGACGAUCCAUAGCUGGUCUGAGAGGAUGAUCAGCCACACUGGGACUGAGACACGGCCCAGACUCCUACGGGAGGCAGCAGUGGGGAAUAUUGGACAAUGGGCGAAAGCCUGAUCCAGCAAUGCCGCGUGAGUGAUGAAGGCCUUAGGGUUGUAAAGCUCUUUUACCCGGGAUGAUAAUGACAGUACCGGGAGAAUAAGCUCCGGCUAACUCCGUG